UUCGAUUCUGGCUCAGAUUGAACGCUGGCGGGAUGCUUUACACAUGCAGUCGAACGGCUACGGACUUCGGUCUGGUGGCGAGUGGCGAACAGGUGAGUAAUGUGGCGGAACGUGCCUAGUAGCGGGGGAUAACUGCACGCGAAAGCGUAGCUAAUACCAUACGCCCUUCGGGGGAAAGUGGGGGGACCUUCGGGCCUCGCACUAUUAGAGCGGCCGAUAUCGGAUUAGCUAGUUGGUGGGGUAACGGCUCACCAAGGCGACGAUCCGUAGCUGGUUUGAGAGGACGACCAGCCACACUGGGACUGAGACACGGCCCAGACUCCUACGGGGAGGGCAGCGGUGGGGAAUUUUGGACAAUGGGGAAACCCUGAUCCAGCCAUCCCGCGUGUGAUGAAGGCCUUCGGGUUGUAAAGCACUUUUGGCAGGAAAGAAACGGCACGGGAUAAUACCCCGUGCAACUGACGGUACCUGCAGAAUAAGCACCGGCUAACUACGUGCCAGCAGCCGCGGUAAUACGCUCAAGGUGCAAGCGUUAAUCGGAAUUACUGGGCGUAAAGCGUGCGCAGGCGGUUCGGAAAGAAGAUGUGAAAUCCCAGAGCUUAACUUUGGAACUGCAUUUUAACUACCGAGCUAGAGUGUGUCAGAGGGAGUGGAAUUCCUGAUGUAGCAAUGAAAUGCGUAGAUAUGCGGAGGAACACCGAUGGCGAAGGCAGCCUCCUGGGAUAACACUGACGCUCAUGCACAGCGAUGGGGAGCAAACAGGAUUAGAUACCCUGGUAGUCCACGCCUAAACGAUGUCAACUAACUGUUGGGGCCUUCGGGCCUUGGUAUGCCAAUAACGCGUGAAGUGACCGCCUGGGGAGUACGGUCGCAAGAUUAAAACUCAAAGGAAUUGACGGGGACCCGCACAAGCGGUGGAUGAUGUGGAUUAAUUCGAUGCAACGCGAAAACACCUACCCUUGACAUGUCUGGAAUCCCGAAGAGAUUUGGGAGUGCUCGCAAGAGAACCGGAACACAGGUGCUGCAUGGCUGUCGUCAGCUCGUGUCGUGAGAUGUUGGGUUAAGUCCCGCAACGAGCGCAACCCUUGUCAUUAGUUGCUACGAAAGAGGGCACUCUAAUGAGACUGCCGGUGACAAACCGGAGGAAGGUGGGGAUGACGUCAAGUCCUCAUGGCCCUUAUGGGUAGGGCUUCACGUCAUACAAUGGUCGGGACAGAGGGUCGCCAACCCGCGAGGGGAACCAAUCCCAGAAACCCGAUCGUAGUCCGGAUCACGCAGUCUGCAACUCGACUGCGUGAAGUCCGGAAUCGCCAGUAAUCGCGGAUCAGCAUGUCGCGGUGAAUACGUUCCCGGGUCUUGUACACACCGCCCACGUCACCAUGGGAGUGGGUUUUACCAGAAGUGGAUUAGCCUAACCGUAAGGAGGGCGAUUACCACGGUAGGAUUCAUGACUGGGGUGAAGUCCGGCAACAAGGUAA
rnacentral:rRNA from 1 species